GGAUGGGUGGCCGAGUGGUUUAAGGCAGCAGUCUUGAAAACUGCCGUGCGUUUACGCGUACCGGGGGUUCGAAUCCCCCCCCAUCCG
rnacentral:tRNA from 1 species